rnacentral:rRNA from 1 species
GUGAGUAAUAUAUCGGAACGUGCCCAGUCGUGGGGGAUAACGUAGCGAAAGCUACGCUAAUACCGCAUACGAUCUAUGGAUGAAGCGGGGGAUCGCAAGACCUCGCGCGAUUGGAGCGGCCGAUAUCAGAUUAGGUAGUUGGUGGGGUAAAGGCCUACCAAGCCUUCGAUCUGUAGCUGGUCUGAGAGGACGACCAGCCACACUGGAACUGAGACACGGUCCAGACUCCUACGGGAGGCAGCAGUGGGGAAUUUUGGACAAUGGGCGCAAGCCUGAUCCAGCAAUGCCGCGUGCAGGAUGAAGGCCUUCGGGUUGUAAACUGCUUUUGUACGAAACGAAACGGUUCUUUUUAAUAAAGAGGGCUAAUGACGGUACCGUAAGAAUAAGCACCGGCUAACUACGUGCCAGCAGCCGCGGUAAUACGUACGGUGCGAGCGUUAAUCGGAAUUACUGGGCGUAAAGCGUGCGCAGGCGGUUAUGUAAGACAGAUGUGAAAUCCCCGGGCUCAACCUGGGACCUGCAUUUGUGACUGCAUAGCUAGAGUACGGUAGAGGGGGAUGGAAUUCCGCGUGUAGCAGUGAAAUGCGUAGAUAUGCGGAGGAACACCGAUGGCGAAAGGCAAUCCCCUGGACCUGUACUGACGCUCAUGCACGAAAGCGUGGGGAGCAACAGGAUUAGAUACCCUGGUAGUCC